AUGGCGGCGGCGGCGGCGGGAAGUGAUUUGUUGGUGGUUCGCCUGCCUUCUCCCUCGGCGGAGGACCCCCUGCACCAUGAUAAGAAGAAAUUAUUGGAGGCUAGGAAACUAUCCUGUACAUUUCAAGUCCCAAUCUCUUCGUCCCCUGUUGACGCCUGCAAAUUACUUGACCAGAUGAUCCAUGCUGCUAGGGUCGCUCAUAUGGAUGAGCUGGAGCUUUAUUUUGCUGGGGGUGAUGAUUAUGGCCCAUUCUCUGCACGGAAUGAGCUUGAGUCCCUGAAUCUGCUUCUCAAAACCAUCAACACAUUGCUUGUAGCUGCCAAUGAUGGCGCCAAGGGAGUAUUGCAAUUACUAGUGGAUGAGAUAGUUGUUAGGCUCAGAUCUGUGGGAUUGACAGAUAAGCUUCAGAUGGCACUUCAAACAGAGAACCAUGAAAUUGAGGAUUCUCUUCUUAAAUGGGGGGAGCAACAUGGUGUUAAAAGUAAAUUGCAGAUAGCAUUUUUUGAAGGAGCUGGGAGAGGAAUGCUAGCAUCUGAAGAUCUAGGUGUGGGUGACAUUGCACUUGAAAUUCCAGAGUCCCUUAUCAUAUCUGAGGAACUUCUCUGCCAGUCUGAUAUGUUUCUUGCGUUGAAAGAUGUGAAUAGCAUCAGCACUGAAACUAUGCUAUUGUUGUGGAGCAUGAGAGAGCGGCAUAAUCCAUCUUCAAUGUUUAAGAUGUUCUUUGAGACACUUCCGUCAAAUUUCAAUACAGGCUUGAGUUUCGGAAUUGAUGCACUUGCUGCACUAGAAGGUACCCUACUUUUUGACGAGUUAAUGCAAGCUAGGCAGCAUUUGCGCCAGCAGUACGAUGAGUUAUUCCCAAUGCUAUCCACCAAGUUUCCUGAGAUAUUCAAACAAGACAUAUUCUCGUGGGACAAUUUUCUGUGGGCAUGUGAAUUAUGGUAUUCUAACAGUAUGAUGGUUGUUUUAAGUAGCGGGAAAUUAACGACUUGCUUGAUUCCUGUUGCUGGACUUAUGAACCACUCGGUGACUCCACACAUUCUUAACUAUGGCCGAGUAGAUCAAGCUACAAAGUCUUUGAAGUUUCCUUUGUCGAGACCUUGUGAAGCAGGGGCCCAAUGUUUCCUCAGUUAUGGGAAACAUCCAGGGUCACAUCUAAUUACCUUCUAUGGUUUCCUACCAAGAGAAGACAACCCUUACGAUGUUAUACCUUUGGAUCUUGAUACGUCUGUUCACGAGGAGGAUGGAACCGCCCAGUCUGUGAGUACAAGUGUAACCACUCAUAUGGUUCGUGGGACAUGGUUGUGCAGAUCACGAGGACCUCCAACAUAUGGCCUGCCUCCACCCUUGUUGUCUCAUCUCCGUGCUGCUCUAAACUGUGAUCACAAUGAAUCUACACCAGAGGCUGAUAUCAAGGAAAAUGACAGGAUGGUGCUGGAAACACUCGUUAGCAUAUUUACUCCGAUGCUUGAAGGGUUAGGCGAGGCAGACGACUACAACCGGGAGAGUGCGAGUUGGGACGUUGUGCUAGCGCUGGACUACAAGGAUCUUCAGAGAAGGAUAAUUUCGUCCAUUGUUACUUCUUGUGGCUCAGGAUUGGCAAUGCUUGAUUCCUAG
rnacentral:rRNA from 1 species